rnacentral:rRNA from 1 species
UACGUAGGGGGCAAGCGUUGUCCGGAAUCAUUGGGCGUAAAGCGCGUGUAGGCGGCUCGAUAAGUCUGCUGUGAAAGUUCAGGGCUCAACCCUGAAAUGCCGGUGGAAACUGUCGAGCUAGAGUACGGAAGAGGUGAGUGGAAUUCCUGGUGUAGCGGUGAAAUGCGCAGAUAUCAGGAGGAACACCAAUGGCGAAGGCAGCUCGCUGGGACGGUACUGACGCUGAGGCGCGAAAGCGUGGGGAGCAAACAGG